UACGUAGGUGGCAAGCGUUGUCCGGAUUUACUGGGCGUAAAGGGAGCGUAGGCGGAUUUUUAAGUGAGAUGUGAAAUACUCGGGCUCAACUUGAGUGCUGCAUUUCAAACUGGAAGUCUAGAGUGCAGGAGAGGAGAAUGGAAUUCCUAGUGUAGCGGUGAAAUGCGUAGAGAUUAGGAAGAACACCAGUGGCGAAGGCGAUUCUCUGGACUGUAACUGACGCUGAGGCUCGAAGGCGUGGGGAGCAAACAGG
rnacentral:rRNA from 1 species